rnacentral:rRNA from 1 species
UACGGGGGGAGCAAACGUUGUUCGGAAUCACUGGGCGUAAAGGGCGCGUAGGCGGCUAGGUAAGUGGGGUGUUAAAUCUCCCGGCUCAACCGGGAACCUGCACCUCAUACUGCUUGGCUUGAGUACAGCAGAGGAGACUGGAAUUCCCGGUGUAGCGGUGAAAUGCGUAGAUAUCAGGAGGAACACCGGUGGCGAAGGCGGAUCUCUGGGCCGAUACUGACGCUGAGGAGCGAAAGCGUGGGGAGCGAACAGG